AAUUUAAUUAAUCAUAACACGUAAUUUAACAUAAUGAUAGGAGUAAAAUACUCCUAUUUACUCGAGUGGAUUCAUGCGUUUUUAAUGUAAUUUGUCUUGCAUUUUAAGGUGUUUAUACGCCUUAUUGUGUGCUUGAGCUUUUCAGGACAUUGGAGCGUUUUGGAGCACAUUUGGCCUAGGAAAGUGAAGAAAUCGACAAAGAAUUGUUGCGGCAAAGUCUUGAAGAUAGGAAGCGAUGGAGAUGCCAAAUUUCAGCAUGUCACGAUCGUUUUGGCUUUCUAGUUUGUGCAUGUGAUCUGUUUCUCAGAUUGAAAGUCCUUCACAAAUGUAGGGAGUCCAUAUCCCUCAGGGUUAGUCUCUAUUCCUCUUAUAUCCUCCAUAUCUUUGUCAGAUACUAUUUGUGGCUAUUAGUCUCCAGCCGCUGCACCAUAAUAAAAAUCAUUUAGAAUUUCUACCUGAUGUUCCGGGGAUUGAUUAUUGCUUCUGGCCAAUCCAACAUAUAUCUUUUGAAGAUGAGGGCUAAGCUGGUUCAGAAUCCCCAUUGGGAACCUGCUCGCAAGAGAGUUCAGGUAGCCUCUCUUACUUGCCACAUGAGAUGGGGUAGAGUUGUUUCUUGGCACUAAGGGCCGUUGAAUCGAAAAGUUCUCAUUAUUGUGGGCUAUAGUGUUGCUCAGUUCUGCAAAACUGGAUUGAAAGAAGUUGGUCACCAUUUGGUCUUGUUGAAAUGUGUAUUCAGGCAGAGUUUGUGUGAACUUUGUGUUUAUAAAGGAAUCUGCAAAUCCAAAGUUCUGUUGGGAUAGUUUGCCAGCUGGUUAUUGAGAUCCGGGUAGUUGACAUUCACAUCUGGGAUUUGUCUUGCGAUUGACUCAGUAAAGUUUCCUUUGUCUGCAUUCUGGGCUGCCAAUUUUUGAGCUUUCACUAUAGGCAUGUCACGAGCCCUCGGCAGAGGAGAGCAUCUCAUGAACAGACCAUAUCUAUUCUUUCCCACAAACUCAAUCGCGCCUCUUCUUCUGCAUUCUUCUUCUCACAAAAGUUCAUGUUAUGACCAAUCAAACCAUAAGAUAAACUGAUGAUAGCUGGACAUGGAGUUUGGAGCAGAGGAUUAUUUUCGGUGAAGAGUACUUAUUGGGCUUUGACAAGGGAGGUUUCUCAGAGGUCAAACUUUGAAUGGGGAAAUAUCUGGAAAUUAAAUGUCCCUCUUAAGGAUCGAGUCAGUAUUUCAUAUUUUUAGGGAUUGUGAUUUUGCGAGAGGUUGCUAGAAGGAAAUGGGUUUAAAUGUGAUGAAUGGUUUGGCUUCAAAUAUGCAAGAACGGUUUAGUGGUUGGUUGAGGAUUCAAACUUUGGAGGAGUCUUGCUUGGUUGCUUCUAUUUGUCGGAACAUUUGGUAUAAGAUCAUUGGUUUGGCAUUAAAUGAGCUCUUCAGUUCAAGAGUAGGUUAAUAUUGGAGGUCAACAUAUAUGUUCAUGGAAAUGUUCAAGUAUACCAGAUUUGUAAGUUGAACAUGAUGAAGAUACGGCUAGGUGGAAAGGUCCUGCAACAGGUUGGAUUAAAGUUAACAUGGAUGCAACUGUUUUCUCGCAUAGUUCGGGUGUUGGUACUGCUUGUGUAGUGCGAGAUGCAAGUUGAAAGUUUCUGUGAGCUUGGGUUAGAAAUUUGUCGGGUUUAAUCUCGCCUCAUAAUGCAAAAAUCAUUGUACGUAAUCCGAGAAGCCUUAUGUUGGCAAAAUGUAAUUCAAAUGUCAUUAUUGAAGCGGAUUGUUUGGAGGUUGUUAGCAA